rnacentral:rRNA from 1 species
GACCUGCCCACUGAGGAAUUAAAUGGCCGCGGUAUUUUGACCGUGCAAAGGUAGCAUAAUAAUUAGUUUUUUAAUUGAAAGCUGGAAUGAAAGGUUGGAUGAGAAAAUAACUGUCUCUAUUUAGAUUAAUUAGAAUUUUAUUUUUAAGUAAAAAAGCUUAAAUAAAAAUAGAAGACGAGAAGACCCUAUAGAGUUUUAAUUUAAUUGGGGUGAUUGAAAAAUUUAAUAAACUUUUUUUGUAUUUAAACAUUAAUUUAUGAAUAGUUGAUCCUUUUUUUAAGAUUAAAAGUAAAAAUUACCUUAGGGAUAACAGCGUAAUUUUUUUAGAGAGUUCAAAUCGAAAAAAAAGAUUGCGACCUCGAUGUUGGAUUAAAAUUAAGUCUUGGUGUAGAAGCUAAG